GCUGUAGCACGGAUCCGUAGAAAUUAGAAAUCCGUGGUAUUCAGCGUAGUUGGUAUUCCAUGGCGGUAGCCAUUUUGAGAAAUUGUGUUUUGUAGGUUGUGUAGUGUGUCGUUGGAGUGGGGUGGACGUGUUUAAUAUAAUUAAAUCAAAUUUCGUAACUAUGUAGCAUAUAUAGCGUUAGUAUCAAAUUUUAAAAACUUGUCGGCAUAAGAUUUUGCAACGCCAGAAGAGAUACUGUCCAACAUCAAGAUUGAGCCUGAUGACAGCAAACUGGAGCUACAGAUAGCCCUCAAAAAAAGCAGGGAGACUGAAGCUGCAGGAGGCUGUUACAGAAUCAAAUAACAAUGUAGAAAAGUUUGUUGUGGUGGGCCUCAAACCAGUAAAUCAUAUCUUCACAUUUAAGACAUAUCAUCAUUCUUACAAUGCUACAAACUGGAAGCUCACGGGUUGGAUUCCCACUGAGGUGGCAGAGUCAGUACUGGAGAGAAAGUCAGAAGGAAACACGGAAGAUGGUUCCAUUGUGCUGAAUGCUACAGCAGAAUUCUGCCGUACAUUGGGUGACAUCCCCAUUUAUGGUCUGGCUGGCAACAGGGAUGAGGACGGUCAGGAACUACUGGUGAUCCGCAGAUAAAUGACUUUGAGAGGGAAAUGAUUGAAGAGAAGAAACGUCAGGAAGAAGAAGGCAAACGUGGAGCUUGGAAUGAAGUUGGGAUUGAGAUGAUGAAAAAUUUGGGCAUCGCGAGCUGCAGUGGUCUGACCUCAGACUUCGAAGAGGAGGAGGAGGGCUACAGAUCAGUUCUUAAAAUCGACUACACAGAUGAUGAUGAUGAUGAUGAUGAUGGACAUGUGCUUAAGGCAAAGGAGGCUUUCAGGUUAGCACAGCUAACAGC